rnacentral:tRNA from 1 species
GCGGAUGUGGCGGAACUGGUAGACGCACUGGAUUUAGGUUCCAGCGCCGCAAGGCGUGGGGGUUCGACUCCCUCCAUCCGCACCA